GGCAAGAGUGGAGCAGGGUCCACUGUGUGUGACAGUCUAUGUGAUGCACGGAGAAAGAGAGAGAGCAUAGUCAAACCGACUCGCGCUAAUUAGACAAACUUGUUACUGCCACAGUUUAUCGAUCGUACCAUCUGGAAAUGCCGGUCUUGACCGCAAAUCGUUUUAAAGAAGCUAGCUAGCUACAGUAGCCAGCCACGUUAGAAGCGGCCUGGCCUACAAUAACAAUUCCAUUCAUAUGAAACAACAGCCUACAAGACAGGAAUGUCCUCCCCCUCCUGUUCGCAUUGGCAAUUGAACCGACUGCAGAAAGACAGGACACAAACAUGUCUAAGCUACCGAACCUGAGCCCUAGGACCAUACGUCAGGACUACCGGGCAUGAUGACUCCUUGCUGUCCCCAGUCCGCCUGGCCUUGCUGCUAUUCCAGUUUCAACUGUUCUGCCUGUGGUUACGGAACCCCUACCUGUCCCAGACCUGCUGUUUUCAACUCUUAAUGAUCGGCUAUGAAAAGCCAACUGACAUUUAUUCCUGAUUAUUAUUUGACCAUGCUUGUCAUUUAUGAACAUUUUGAAAAUCUUGGCCCUCUCUAAUUUUCUCCUUGUCUCUUUCUUUCUCUCGGAGGACCUGAGCCCUAGGACCAUACAUCGGGACUACCGGGCGUGGUGACUCCUUGCUGUCCCCAGUCCGCCUGGCCUUGCUGCUAUUCCAGUUUCAACUGUUCUGCCUGCGGUUAUGGAACCGCCACCUGUCCCAGACCUGCUGUUUUCAACUCUUAAUGAUCGGCUAUGAAAAGCCAACUGACAUUUAUUCAUGAUUAUUAUUUGACCAUGCUUGUCACUUAUGAACAUUUUUGAACAUCUUGGCAUAGUUCUGUUAUAAUCUCCACCCGGCACAGCCAGAAGAGGACUGGCCACCCCUCAUAGCCUGGUUCCUCUCUAGGUUUCUUCCUAGGUUUUGGCCUUUCUAGGGAGUUUUUCCUAGCCACCGUGCUUCUACACCUGCAUUACUAGCUGUUUGGGGUUUUAGGCUGGGUUUCUGUACAGCACUUCGAGAUAUUAGCUGAUGUACGAAGGGCUAUAUAAAAUAAACUUGAUUGAUUGUAA